UUAAAUUGAAGAGUUUGAUCAUGGCUCAGAUUGAACGCUGGCGGCAGGCCUAACACAUGCAAGUCGAACGGUAACAGAAAUCAGCUUGCUGAUUUGCUGACGAGUGGCGGACGGGUGAGUAAUGUCUGGGAAACUGCCUGAUGGAGGGGGAUAACUACUGGAAACGGUAGCUAAUACCGCAUAACGUCGCAAGACCAAAGAGGGGGACCUUCGGGCCUCUUGCCAUCGGAUGUGCCCAGAUGGGAUUAGCUAGUAGGUGGGGUAACGGCUCACCUAGGCGACGAUCCCUAGCUGGUCUGAGAGGAUGACCAGCCACACUGGAACUGAGACACGGUCCAGACUCCUACGGGAGGCAGCAGUGGGGAAUAUUGCACAAUGGGCGCAAGCCUGAUGCAGCCAUGCCGCGUGUAUGAAGAAGGCCUU
rnacentral:rRNA from 1 species